GCAUCGAUAGCUCAGUGGCAGAGCGGUGGGGCGUUUACCCAUGCGGCCCGGGUUCGAUUCCCAGUCGAUUUA